AAAUGAAGGGGAGGCACCUGAUCAGCCAUGCCGCGUGAGUGAAGAAGGCCUUCGGGUUGUAAAGCUCUUUCGGCCGGGAAGAAAUCGCGUGAGUUAAUACCUUGCGUGGAUGACGGUACCGGAAUAAGAAGCACCGGCUAACUACGUGCCAGCAGCCGCGGUAAUACGUAGGGUGCGAGCGUUAAUCGGAAUUACUGGGCGUAAAGCGUGCGCAGGCGGUUUUUUAAGACAGGCGUGAAAUCCCCGGGCUUAACCUGGGAACUGCGCUUGUGACUGGAAGACUAGAGUAUGGCAGAGGGGGGUGGAAUUCCACGUGUAGCAGUGAAAUGCGUAGAGAUGUGGAGGAACACCGAUGGCGAAGGCAGCCCCCUGGGCCAAUACUGACGCUCAUGCACGAAAGCGUGGGGAGCAAACAGGAUUAGAUACCCUGGUAGUCCACGCCCUAAACGAUGUCAACUAGGUGUUGGGUGGGUAAAACCAUUUAGUACCGUAGCUAACGCGUGAAGUUGACCGCCUGGGGAGUACGGCCGCAAGGUUA
rnacentral:rRNA from 1 species